CCUCAUACUCUAAAGCACCGUGACACUUUGAUUUUCAAGCCUUAAUUUAUUAUAAUUUUAGACCUGAACUUUCCAUAUUACUGGAAUUAAGUUUUACUGUCUUAUUUAAUUAACUGAAAGCUGACGUGAUAACUGUUACGAUAAACGCACAAACGAAAACGAAAAUGACGAACACGAAAUAAAUAAAGCACAAACGGAAAUAAACGAGAACACACAUAUUUACGUAAAAAAUUCUUUGCAGGAAAAAAUCACGAGCAAGGGAGGACAAAACUUCACUAUCGAAAAGAGAAUACAAUGUUCGAGUACAACCAACCACAAUCUCACGUCUCUACGGGCUCUGGCCUAUCGGCCCGAGCCCUUCGCUACCUACCACAGACAUUCAUUUUUUCCUCACAAUUUUAUUUUCUAAUUUGAUCGCACCACGAAACCCGCACCCCCUGGCGAAUGUUAGUAGUGGGCUACAGGCUCGGACCUGUCAGUCCGAGUCCUCUGCUACCCGCCACAGACAUUUUUUUUUUCUUCUCAAUUUUAUUUUUUAAUUUGGUCGCACCGCGAAACUGUCGGCGAGUCGAAAUUCCAAACUAAAGUCGAUUAUCAAUUUCGAGUUACAUCUAACAGUAAUGAUGUGGCUUCUAUUUAUUACUACUCUAUAGACUACAACAUUUGUUACAACGUUACUGCCAUAUCAGCGACAGAUCCUGUACCAGAACUUCUACAUUUCAUUUUCAAUU
rnacentral:lncRNA from 1 species